rnacentral:rRNA from 1 species
CAGCAGCCACGGUAAUACGUAGGUCCCGAGCGUUGUCCGGAUUUAUUGGGCGUAAAGCGAGCGCAGGCGGUUAGAUAAGUCUGAAGUUAAAGGCUGUGGCUUAACCAUAGUACGCUUUGGAAACUGUUUAACUUGAGUGCAAGAGGGGAGAGUGGAAUUCCAUGUGUAGCGGUGAAAUGCGUAGAUAUAUGGAGGAACACCGGUGGCAAAAGCGGCUCUCUGGCUUGUAACUGACGCUGAGGCUCGAAAGCGUGGGGAGCAAACAGGAUUAGAUACCCGCGUAGUCCCUGUCUCUUAUACA